AUUGUCAUGUCCUUUCAGGUGUCCACUUUACUAGCUAUCUUGAACCACUUGCAAUGUGUCAUUUACAUAAUUUCUAGCAGUUACUCUUUAGAUAAAUUCUGGAAUAUAUUUAUGCACAUUAUUUUUGUGUUUGUAGUUUAAAGUGUUUGUUGGUUACAUUUAUACCAAUAUUGUUAUCUUACUAUGUGUCCAUGUACUUUUGAUGCAGAGUCUUGCUGUCCUAUUCACUGAGUUCUCCAACUCAUCCUUGAAACCACGCCUCCUCUGAGCUUCAUGAGAAACUCACAGUACAGAGGCAGAGCACCACAUUCAGCUGAGAUCCAAGAGUCUUGAGGAGAGAAGUUUAAUGAAGAUCCAUUUAACAUCUACAGAUGCACAGUCUCUCACUAUCUCUACACAGGGCACUUGAGAAUGCCUUAGAUAAUUCUUGUGAAAGAGGAGACAGCCUUGUUGAGAACUGAGCACUGAAUUGAAUUAUGGGUAGAACAGUAUGUUGGAAACUAACAUGACUAUCCUCCAGAAGCCCCCAAAAGCAGCUGAAAGUGUCAGAUGAUGAUAUUUCCAGCCAAGCAAUGGACAGAAGAUAGUGACCCCAGUGGUUGAAUUUUCAAAAGCUGGAAAAAGCUUAUGAAGAAGGCAACCCUAUAGGAAGACCAGCAGUCUCAACUAUCCUGGACACAUGAGAUCUCUCAGACACUGUGCCACCAACCAGGCUGUAUAUACCAGCUGAUAUGAGGUUCCCAAGACAUAUACAGCAAGAAUUCCUGGUCUGCACUAAAAAACAUGUUCCUCCAGCUGAAGUCACUGCUCCUGCUUUAAGAUACAUUGUCCCUGUCACAGUUUUGGAUCAUUCAUCAUUUUCAAAGAAAAGGAUAUACUUCAGGAACCAGUAUCUGACAAAACGAGGAGUCUUGCUGUCCUGUUCACUGAGUUCUCCAACUCAUCCCUGAAACCACGCCUCCUCUCAGCUUCAUGAGAAACUCACAGUACAGAGGCAGAGCACCACAUUCAGCUGAUGAGUAACAUUAAUCCCGCAACAUGGCUGCUCUGGCAAGGGAUCAUAUCCAGAGACUUUUUAGGACUAUAUGAUCCAGCUGGACUGCAGAAAACCUUUAAUAUACACCUUUAAUCCCUAACAAUGAAGGAAUGAAAAUAAAGAACAAAUAAAUGAACUUGGAAAGCUGUCUGCUGAUACUGAAAUUCAGACCUCAACCUUCUCCAAGAUUUGCAUCUGCCUCCCUGGAUACAAAGAUUGUAUCAGGGAUAUGCCGUUCCUUUCUCUCCCUUG
rnacentral:lncRNA from 1 species